AGUGAACGCUGGCGGCAGGCCUAACACAUGCAAGUCGAGCGGCAGCGGGUUCCCGCGAGGGGAUGCCGGCGAGCGGCGGACGGGUGAGGAACACAUCGGAAUCUGCCUGGUUGUGGGGGAUAACGUAGGGAAACUUACGCUAAUACCGCAUGCGACCCUGAGUCGACGGACGUGGGGGUGAAAGUGAGGGACCUUCGGGCCGUCACGCGACCAGAUGAGCCGAUGUCGGAUUAGCUAGUUGGCGGGGUAACGGCCCGCCAAGGCGACGAUCCGUAGCUGGUCUGAGAGGAUGAUCAGCCACACUGGGACUGAGACACGGCCCAGACUCCUACGGAGGCAGCAGUGGGGAAUCUUGGACAAUGGGCGCAAGCCUGAUCCAGCCAUGCCGCGU
rnacentral:rRNA from 1 species